UCACAGCAAACCCUAUCUGAUCUAUUACUCUGACCAAUAUACAAUCUGUGGAAGAAGAAGCAGUAUGAGUUCUUCAAGCAUCAACAUCCAGAGCAUUCUUUGCCCUACGCCUCCUCCCACACAGGGUUCUAAAACCAGACCAGCCACUCGCAUUCCAAACUCCAAGGAUCACUUCUCCAAGAGUCGAUGAUGACACACUUCACAAUUCCAUGCAUUUCUCAGAUUAAUCUUGCGGAUGAAGCCGCUGCAUCAUUGAUUAUGGAUCGUUAAUGAUUGGGUCACAUGAAGGGAGAAUCGAAAUAGUUGCAAAUAUAUGUAGGGCACAUUACUAUAUAUAUGUUAUAUUCUUUAUUCGUUCGUUUUUAUGUUUGAUUUGAUCAUUUGUUGUCUUAUACAAACAGUGGAGUUAGUUAAUAAUAUUCGUUUAUUCGAAAGC